GAUAGAGGCGCAGAGUUAAAGAGUAGCAUAUCCGAGGUUGCGAAACCAAAGACGGUAUGCGAAAGGGAACUUUGCCGAAACGGAGACCGGUUCGCAACGGUAUUCAGUUGGGCGUAAGGAUAACAUCCUUUCGACUGUCGCGCAAGCGGGGAGCUAUCGGA
rnacentral:ncRNA from 1 species